ACCUGGCCACUCAGGGCCAGGCCGGCCCCUGCCACGUCCCUCAGGCGCGGGACCGCGCGCUGCGCCCCCGGGCGGGUGGCAGAGCCCCUCCCCCACCCCUAAAGCGUUCCCUGCAGGUGGAAGGCCAGCGGCCUCGCGGGAGGGGCGGCGGUUGCGCGCCCAACGGCUCGGGCUCUGUCUCGCGCCCUCCGCCCAGGCCCCUCUCGGGUGCCCGCUGAGGCCUCGCUCUUCUCUCGAGCCCCGCGCGGUGGGCCCCGCGCAGUGGGCCCCGGCGCUCCAGCUGCUCUCCGAGCUCCCAGCCCAGCCCGAGAAGCGCGCCGCCGCACCACCAGAGUGCGGGCUCUGCCGGCCGAAGCCGCAGGCUGCUGAGGGGACUGGGGGCGCGCCCUCCCUGCCUGGCUCGCUUGCCUCCUCCCGCAGCCGGCGGGUGCGACGUGCCGCCGCCGCUGCUCACGCCGCCGCUGAUGCAGCCCCCGCCGGUGAUGCAGCCCCCGCCGCUGCUCCCGCUGCCGCCGCCUUCGCCGCCGCCGCCAGUGCCCCCGCUGAAAGUGACUGACGCUCCGCUUGCGCCCGGGACCGACCCCGCUACUGGCGGCCGCACCUCUCAGGUUAAGGUGAUCACAGAGAAGAGUGAUGAUUUUGAUAGUCUGAUGGCUUCAAAUGAAAUCAUUGCCCCAGGACCCCAGCAGACCGUCCUGGUUCCCAGUGAGGAUGGGACAACUCUUCUUUUCCCAGUUACACCAGCACACCUGGGAGAAAUUCCUGUCACAGUCACAGCUGUCUCACCUGCUGUUUCUGAUGCCGUCACCCAAAGAGUUUUAGUGAAGGCUGAAGGGAUGGAAAAAUCCUAUUCGCAAUGCAUCUUAUUAGACUUGAUGGACAGCAGGUGACAAACUACCGUGAGAACUUCUUUUCCCCCUCCCUCCUCAUACAGUGAGCGGUUGUGAAAGAGUGCAGAUCAGCUGCAGUUGGACUGCCCUCCAUUUGGCCUGUGCCAGUGGCCACGGAGGCGUGGUAGCUCUCCUUCUGGAGCGAGGAUGCCAGGUGAACACGCAGGACAGGAAGAAAAGGACGGCGCUGAUCAAGGUGUGUAGCAGCCAGCCUUGCCCGCGUGAGAUGGAUUCCAUGUAAUGACUUAAAUCAAAACUGAAUUGAUCUGGUUUAUGCUGUACAGUGCGAGGCGGAGGAGUGCACGGACAUCCUUCUUAAAAGUGGAGCGAACGUCAAUGCUGCAGAUGUACUUGGCAACACUGUGCUCCACUAUGCUGCAUCCUCAACACAACAUGUAUUGCGGCGAAGCUUCUAUCCCAUGCUGCGGACAUGGACGUGAAAAACCAGGAUGACCUGACACCACUAUUAGUUGCCAUGAGGGAAAACAGACAGCGAAUGGCAGAAUUUUUAAAUGAAAAACAGGCAAAUAUACAUGCAAUUGAGAAGAUGAAAAG